GACGAACGCUGGCGGCGUGCUUAACACAUGCAAGUCGAACGGAAAGGCCCUGCUUUUGUGGGGUGCUCGAGUGGCGAACGGGUGAGUAACACGUGAGUAACCUGCCCUUGACUUUGGGAUAACUUCAGGAAACUGGGGCUAAUACCGGAUAGGAGCUCCUGCUGCAUGGUGGGGGUUGGAAAGUUUCGGCGGUUGGGGAUGGACUCGCGGCUUAUCAGCUUGUUGGUGGGGUAGUGGCUUACCAAGGCUUUGACGGGUAGCCGGCCUGAGAGGGUGACCGGCCACAUUGGGACUGAGAUACGGCACAGACUCCUACGGGAGGCAGCAGUGGGGAAUAUUGCACAAUGGGCGGAAGCCUGAUGCAGCAACGCCGCGUGCGGGAUGACGGCCUUCGGGUUGUAAACCGCUUUCGCCUGUGACGAAGCGUGAGUGACGGUAAUGGGUAAAGAAGCACCGGCUAACUCCGUG
rnacentral:rRNA from 1 species